UGGGGAAUAUUGCACAAUGGGCGAAAGCCUGAUGCAGCAACGCCGCGUGAGUGAUGACGGCCUUCGGGUUGUAAAGCUCUGUCUUCGGGGACGAUAAUGACGGUACCCGAGGAGGAAGCCACGGCUAACUACGUGCCAGCAGCCGCGGUAAUACGUAGGUGGCAAGCGUUGUCCGGAUUUACUGGGCGUAAAGGGAGCGUAGGCGGAUUUUUAAGUGGGAUGUGAAAUACCCGGGCUCAACCUGGGUGCUGCAUUCCAAACUGGAAGUCUAGAGUGCAGGAGGGGAAAGUGGAAUUCAUAGUGUAGCGGUGAAAUGCGUAGAGAUUAUGAAGAACACCAGUGGCGAAGGCGACUUUCUGGACUGUAACUGACGCUGAGGCUCGAAAGCGUGGGGAGCAAACAGGAUUAGAUACCCCCGUAGUCC
rnacentral:rRNA from 1 species